rnacentral:rRNA from 1 species
AAAUGACGGUACCUGACUAAUAAGCACCGGCUAACUACGUGCCAGCAGCCGCGGUAAUACGUAGGGUGCGAGCGUUAAUCGGAAUUACUGGGCGUAAAGCGUGCGCAGGCGGUUAUACAAGACAGGCGUGAAAUCCCCGGGCUUAACCUGGGAAUGGCGUCUGUGACUGUAUAGCUAGAGUGUGUCAGAGGGGGGUGGAAUUCCACGUGUAGCAGUGAAAUGCGUAGAUAUGUGGAGGAACACCAAUGGCGAAGGCAGCCCCCUGGGAUAACACUGACGCUCAUGCACGAAAGCGUGGGGAGCAAACAGGAUUAGAUACCCUGGUAGUCCACGCCCUAAACGAUGCUGACUAGUUGUUGGGAAUUUACAUUCUCAGUAACGUAGCUAACGCGUGAAGUCAGCCGCCUGGGGAGUACGGUCGCAAGAAUGAAACUCA